rnacentral:pre_miRNA from 1 species
GGACUACUCCCUCCGUCCGAAAAUACUUGUCAUCAAAAUGGACAAAAAGAGAUGUAUUUAGAAUUAAAAUACAUCUAGAUACAUCCCAUUUUAUCCAUUUUGAUGACAAGUAUUUCCGGACGGAGGGAGUACAUA